rnacentral:lncRNA from 1 species
GACUUUGUCUUUUCCUUUGGAGGACUUUUUGUCCCGGAUUUACUGGAUCUUUGCUUUGUCCUUGGUGACGAUACAUUGUCUUUCUGUCGAGGGCUUUCAGUUCUCGGCGUUUUCUUAGUGCCAGAUUUUUCUGCCGCGGAAUUUGCUUCAAGUUUUAAAGUCAAUGAAACCAUUCUUUCCAUGUUCCUAAGUUCAUCCUCUGCUUGUUGAAAUAACCUGUGGAAGAUUCGGAGAUAUUAUGGAAUGAAGAGAUCAGAAGAAGAUGUGGGGUAG